rnacentral:rRNA from 1 species
CAAUAGCGUAUAUUAAAGUUGUUGCAGUUAAAAAGCUCGUAGUUGAAUUUCUGGCGGGCGCGCCGGUCUUCCAAGUGUUGUACUGGGCGCAGUCCGCCAUCCUUGUGGAGAGGGCUCGCACUGAGUUGCGUGUCGGAUCUGCAUCAUUUACUGUGAAAAAAUUAGAGUGUUUAAAGCAGGCUGUCGCUUGAAUACAUUAGCAUGGAAUAAUAAGAUAGGACUUCGGUCUAUUUUGUUGGUUGCGAACCGAGGUAAUGAUUAAUAGGGAUAGUUGGGGGUAUUCAUAUUUAAUUGUCAGAGGUGAAAUUCUUGGAUUUAUGAAAGAUGAACAACUGCGAAAGCAUUUACCAAGGAUGUUUUCAUUAA